rnacentral:rRNA from 1 species
UUGAACGCUGGCGGCAGGCCUAACACCUGCAAGUCGAGCGGAUGAAGGGAGCUUGCUCCUGGAUUCAGCGGCGGACGGGUGAGUAAUACCUAGGAAUCUGCCUGGUAGUGUGGGAUAACGUCCGGAAACGGGCGCUAAUACCGCAUACGUCCUGAGGGAGAAAGUGGGGGAUCUUCGGACCUCACGCUAUCAGAUGAGCCUAGGUCGGAUUAGCUAGUUGGUGGGGUAAAGGCCUACCAAGGCGACGAUCCGUAACUGGUCUGAGAGGAUGAUCAGUCACACUGGAACUGAGACACGGUCCAGACUCCUACGGGAGGCAGCAGUGGGGAAUAUUGGACAAUGGGCGAAAGCCUGAUCCAGCCAUGCCGCGUGUGUGAAGAAGGUCUUCGGAUUGUAAAGCACUUUAAGUUGGGAGGAAGGGCAGUAAGUUAAUACCUUGCUGUUUUGACGUUACCAACAGAAUAAGCACCGGCUAACUUCGUG